AAGCCUCUAAGCAUCAGGUAACAUCAAAUCGUACCCCAAACCGACACAGGUGGUCAGGUAGAGAAUACCAAGGCGCUUGAGAGAACUCGGGUGAAGGAACUAGGCAAAAUGGUGCCGUAACUUCGGGAGAAGGCACGCUGAUAUGUAGGUGAAGCGACUUGCUCGUGGAGCUGAAAUCAGUCGAAGAUACCAGCUGGCUGCAACUGUUUAUUAAAAACACAGCACUGUGCAAACACGAAAGUGGACGUAUACGGUGUGACGCCUGCCCGGUGCCGGAAGGUUAAUUGAUGGGGUUAGCGGUAACGCGAAGCUCUUGAUCGAAGCCCCGGUAAACGGCGGCCGUAACUAUAACGGUCCUAAGGUAGCGAAAUUCCUUGUCGGGUAAGUUCCGACCUGCACGAAUGGCGUAAUGAUGGCCAGGCUGUCUCCACCCGAGACUCAGUGAAAUUGAACUCGCUGUGAAGAUGCAGUGUACCCGCGGCAAGACGGAAAGACCCCGUGAACCUUUACUAUAGCUUGACACUGAACAUUGAGCCUUGAUGUGUAGGAUAGGUGGGAGGCUUUGAAGUGUGGACGCCAGUCUGCAUGGAGCCGACCUUGAAAUACCACCCUUUAAUGUUUGAUGUUCUAACGUUGGCCCGUAAUCCGGGUUGCGGACAGUGUCUGGUGGGUAGUUUGACUGGGGCGGUCUCCUCCUAAAGAGUAACGGAGGAGCACGAAGGUUGGCUAAUCCUGGUCGGACAUCAGGAGGUUAGUGCAAUGGCAUAAGCCAGCUUGACUGCGAGCGUGACGGCGCGAGCAGGUGCGAAAGCAGGUCAUAGUGAUCCGGUGGUUCUGAAUGGAAGGGCCAUCGCUCAACGGAUAAAAGGUACUCCGGGGAUAACAGGCUGAUACCGCCCAAGAGUUCAUAUCGACGGCGGUGUUUGGCACCUCGAUGUCGGCUCAUCACAUCCUGGGGCUGAAGUAGGUCCCAAGGGUAUGGCUGUUCGCCAUUUAAAGUGGUACGCGAGCUGGGUUUAGAACGUCGUGAGACAGUUCGGUCCCUAUCUGCCGUGGGCGCUGGAGAACUGAGGGGGGCUGCUCCUAGUACGAGAGGACCGGAGUGGACGCAUCACUGGUGUUCGGGUUGUCAUGCCAAUGGCACUGCCCGGUAGCUAAAUGCGGAAGAGAUAAGUGCUGAAAGCAUCUAAGCACGAAACUUGCCCCGAGAUGAGUUCUCCCUGAGACUUUAAGUCUCCUGAAGGAACGUUGAAGACGACGACGUUGAUAGGCCGGGUGUGUAAGCGCAGCGAUGCGUUGAGCUAACCGGUACUAAUGAACCGUGAGG
rnacentral:rRNA from 1 species